rnacentral:rRNA from 1 species
GCCUACGGGGCGCAGCAGUGAGGAAUAUUGGUCAAUGGGAGAGAUCCUGAACCAGCCAAGCCGCGUGAGGGAAGACGGCCCUAUGGGUUGUAAACCUCUUUUGUCGGAGAACAAAACCCGGGACGUGUCCCGGACUGCGUGUAUCCGAAGAAAAGCAUCGGCUAACUCCGUGCCAGCAGCCGCGGUAAUACGGAGGAUGCGAGCGUUAUCCGGAUUUAUUGGGUUUAAAGGGUGCGUAGGCGGUUUUAUAAGUUAGAGGUGAAAAUUCGGGGCUCAACUCCGGACGUUCCUCUAAUACUGUAUGA